UGUAGCUCAGUGAUAGGGCAUGUGCUUCGCUUCCACAAGGCCCUGGGUUCAAUCCCCAGCA
rnacentral:tRNA from 1 species